UACGUAGGGUGCGAGCGUUGUCCGGAAUUAUUGGGCGUAAAGAGCUCGUAGGCGGUGUGUCACGUCGGCCGUGAAAACCUGCAGCUUAACUGUGGGCGUGCGGUCGAUACGGGCAUCACUGGAGUUCGGCAGGGGAGACUGGAAUUCCUGGUGUAGCGGUGAAAUGCGCAGAUAUCAGGAGGAACACCAGCGGCGAAGGCGGUGCUCUGGGCCGGAACUGACGCUGAGGAGCGAAAGCGUGGGGAGCGAACAGG
rnacentral:rRNA from 1 species